GUCUUCACUUUGGCAUCACAUACACUAAAAUUGGAACAAUACAGAGAAGAUUAGUAUGGCCCCUGCUCAAGGAUGACACUCAAAUUCUUGAGGUGUUCCAUAUUUUU